GGCACGUGAAACCCUGUCUGAACAUGGGGGGACCAUCCUCCAAGGCUAAAUACUACUGACCGACCGAUAGUGAACCAGUACCGUGAGGGAAAGGCGAAAAGAACCCCGGAGAGGGGAGUGAAAUAGAACCUGAAACCGUGUGCGUACAAGCAGUAGGAGCUCCGCAAGGAGUGACUGCGUACCUUUUGUAUAAUGGGUCAGCGACUUACUGUUCGUGGCAAGCUUAACCGUAUAGGGGAGGCGAAGGGAAACCGAGUCUGAUAAGGGCGCAUAGUCGCGGGCAGUAGACCCGAAACCGGGUGAUCUAGUCAUGCCCAGGGUGAAGGUGCGGUAACACGCACUGGAGGCCCGAACCCACUCCCGUUGCAAAGGUAGGGGAUGAGGUGUGAUUAGGAGUGAAAAGCUAAUCGAACCCGGAGAUAGCUGGUUCUCCUCGAAAGCUAUUUAGGUAGCGCCUCAUAUGUAUCCUCUCGGGGGUAGAGCACUGUUAUGGCUAGGGGGUCAUCGCGACUUACCAAACCAUUGCAAACUCCGAAUACCGAGACGGACUGUAUGGGAGACACACGGCGGGUGCUAACGUCCGUCGUGAAAAGGGAAACAACCCAGAC
rnacentral:rRNA from 1 species